rnacentral:tRNA from 1 species
UCCCUGGUGGCUCAGAUGGUAAAGAAUUUGCCUGCAAUGCAAGAGACCUGGAUUCAAUCUCUGGGCCAGGAAG